GUCUACAGCCUCCCCACUGCCAACGAGCCGGUCUCGCCUCGUCCUGGAAGCUCAGCAGGGCUGGACCUGGUUGGCACUCGGAUGGGAAAAGCAGAAAGCAGGUUGCUGUGACG
rnacentral:rRNA from 1 species